rfam:Stegodyphus mimosarum contig58793, whole genome shotgun sequence.
GCUUUCGUGGUUCAGUGGUCAGCACGCUGGAUGCACAUUCGAGAGGUCCGUGGUUCGAAUUCCGGCGAGGGCA